CCUACGGGGGGCAGCAGUCGGGAAUAUUGCGCAAUGGAGGAAACUCUGACGCAGUGACGCCGCGUAUAGGAAGAAGGUUUUCGGAUUGUAAACUAUUGUCGUUAGGGAAGAAAAUGACGGUACCUGACUAAGAAGCCCCGGCUAACUACGUGCCAGCAGCCGCGGUAAUACGUAGGGGGCAAGCGUUAUCCGGAUUUACUGGGUGUAAAGGGAGCGUAGACGGCGCUGCAAGUCCGGAGUGAAAGUCCAUGGCUUAACCAUGGUACUGCUCUGGAAACUGUGGAGCUUGAGUGCGGGAGGGGCAGGCGGAAUUCCUAGUGUAGCGGUGAAAUGCGUAGAUAUUAGGAGGAACACCGGCGGCGAAGGCGGCCUGCUGGACCGUAACUGACGUUGAGGCUCGAAAGCGUGGGGAGCAAACAGGAUUAGAUACCCGGGUAGUC
rnacentral:rRNA from 1 species